rnacentral:rRNA from 1 species
UACGUAGGGGGCGAGCGUUGUCCGGAUUUAUUGGGCGUAAAGAGCGUGUAGGCGGCCAUACAGGUCAGCUGUGAAAACUCGAGGCUCAACCUCGAGACGUCGGUUGAAACCGUAUGGCUAGAGUCCGGAAGAGGAGAGUGGAAUUCCCGGUGUAGCGGUGAAAUGCGCAGAUAUCGGGAAGAACACCCGUGGCGAAGGCGGCUCUCUGGGACGGUACUGACGCUGAGACGCGAAAGCGUGGGGAGCGAACAGG